rnacentral:rRNA from 1 species
AUUGAACGCUGGCGGCAUGCCUUACACAUGCAAGUCGAACGGCAGCGGGGACUUCGGUCCGCCGGCGAGUGGCGAACGGGUGAGUAAUGUAUCGGAACGUACCAUUCAGUGGGGGAUAACUAUCCGAAAGGUUAGCUAAUACCGCAUAUUACGUGAGCAGGAAAGCAGGGGAACGCAAGCCCUUGCGCUGAUGGAGCUGCCGAUAUCGGAUUAGCUAGUUGGUGAGGUAACGGCUCACCAAGGCGACGAUCUGUAGCGGGUCUGAGAGGAUGAUCCGCCACACUGGGACUGAGACACGGCCCAGACUCCUACGGGAGGCAGCAGUGGGGAAUUUUGGACAAUGGGCGCAAGCCUGAUCCAGCCAUGCCGCGUGAGUGAAGAAGGCCUUCGGGUUGUAAAGCUCUUUCGGCCGGGAAGAAAUCGUAUGGGUUAAUACCCUGUGCGGAUGAUGGUACCGGCAUAAGAAGCACCGGCUAACUACGUACCAGCAGCCGCCGUAAGAC